AACUUUCAACAACGGAUCUCUUGGUUCUGGCAUCGAUGAAGAACGCAGCGAAAUGC
rnacentral:rRNA from 4 species